rnacentral:rRNA from 1 species
AUUGAACGCUGGCGGCAUGCCUUACACAUGCAAGUCGAACGGCAGCACGGGAGCAAUCCUGGUGGCGAGUGGUGAACGGGUGAGUAAUAUAUCGGAACGUGCCCAGUCGUGGGGGAUAACGUAGCGAAAGCUACGCUAAUACCGCAUACGAUCUAUGGAUGAAAGCGGGGGAUCGCAAGACCUCGCGCGAUUGGGGCGGCCGAUAUCAGAUUAGGUAGUUGGUGAGGUAAAGGCUCACCAAGCCGACGAUCUGUAGCUGGUCUGAGAGGACGACCAGCCACACUGGGACUGAGACACGGCCCAGACUCCUACGGGAGGCAGCAGUGGGGAAUUUUGGACAAUGGGCGCAAGCCUGAUCCAGCAAUGCCGCGUGCAGGAUGAAGGCCUUCGGGUUGUAAACUGCUUUUGUACGGAACGAAACGGUGAGCUCUAAUACAGUUUGCUAAUGACGGUACCGUAAGAAUAAGCACCGGCUAACUACGUGCCAGCCGCCGCAGUAA